UUGGCAUGCACGAGGCCC
rnacentral:piRNA from 1 species